GACGAACGCUGGCGGCGUGCUUAACACAUGCAAGUCGAACGGAAAGGCCCUGCUUGCAGGGUACUCGAGUGGCGAACGGGUGAGUAACACGUGGGUGAUCUGCCCUGCACUUCGGGAUAAGUCUGGGAAACUGGGUCUAAUACCGGAUAGGAGCCAUUUUUAGUGUGAUGGUUGGAAAGUUUUUUCGGUGUAGGAUGAGCUCGCGGCCUAUCAGCUUGUUGGUGGGGUAAUGGCCUACCAAGGCGGCGAAGGGUAGCCGGCCUGGGAGGGUGGACGGCCAAAUUGGGGACGAGGAACGGCCCAGACUCCUACGGGAGGGAGGAGGGGGGAAUAUUGCAAAAUGGGGGCAAGCCUGAUGCAGCGAAGCCGCGUGGGGGAUGACGGGCUUCGGGUUGUAAACUCCUUUCGCUAGGGACGAAGCUUUUUGUGACGGUACCUAGAUAAGAAGCACCGGCUAACUACGUG
rnacentral:rRNA from 1 species